rnacentral:rRNA from 1 species
UACGUAGGGUGCGAGCGUUAAUCGGAAUUACUGGGCGUAAAGCGUGCGCAGGCGGUUUUGUAAGCCAGAUGUGAAAUCCCCGGGCUCAACCUGGGAAUGGCAUUUGGGACUGCAAGGCUUGAGUGCGGCAGAGGAGACUGGAAUUCCUGGUGUAGCAGUGAAAUGCGUAGAUAUCAGGAGGAAUACCGAUGGCGAAGGCAGGUCUCUGGGCUGACACUGACGCUCAUGCACGAAAGCGUGGGGAGCAAACAGGA